rnacentral:rRNA from 1 species
GAUUGUUAUAUAGAGUCUGGCCUGCCCACUGACAUACGUUAAAGGGCCGCGGUAUUUUGACCGUGCGAAGGUAGCAUAAUCAUUAGUCUUUUAAUUGGAGGCUUGUAUGAAUGGUUGGACAAAAAAUAAGCUGUCUCUGUUUUAAAUCUUGAAUUUAACUUUUAAGUGAAAAGGCUUAAAUGGUCUGGGGGGACGAUAAGACCCUAUAAAGCUUUACAGUUUGUUGAUUAAAUUAUAAAUUGUUAGUGUGAACUUAAUUUAUUUGAUAGCUGUUUCGUUGGGGCGACGAAAAUAUAAUAAAUAGUAACUGUUUUUCUUUUAUAAUAACAAUGAUUUUUGGUAGUAAUUGAUCCUUUAUUAAAGAUUAAAAGAUUAAGUUACUUUAGGGAUAACAGCGUAAUCUUCUUUGAGAGUCCAUAUCGACAAGAAGGGUUGCGACCUCGAUGUUGAAUUAAGGUUUCCUUGAGGUGUAGCAGUUUCAGGGAGGGUCUGUUCGACCCUUA